CUGGCUCAGGAUGAACGCUAGCGGCAGGCUUAACACAUGCAAGUCGAGGGGUAUAUGUCUUCGGAUAUAGAGACCGGCGCACGGGUGCGUAACGCGUAUGCAAUCUACCUUUCACAGAGGGAUAGCCCAGAGAAAUUUGGAUUAAUACCUCAUAGUAUUAUUGAGUGGCAUCACUUAAUAAUUAAAGUCACAACGGUGAAAGAUGAGCAUGCGUCCCAUUAGCUAGUUGGUAAGGUAACGGCUUACCAAGGCAACGAUGGGUAGGGGUCCUGAGAGGGAGAUCCCCCACACUGGUACUGAGACACGGACCAGACUCCUACGGGAGGCAGCAGUGAGGAAUAUUGGACAAUGGGCGCAAGCCUGAUCCAGCCAUGCCGCGUGCAGGAUGACGGUCCUAUGGAUUGUAAACUGCUUUUGUACGAGAAGAAACACUGCUUCGUGAAGCAGCUUGACGGUAUCGUAAGAAUAAGGAUCGGCUAACUCCGUGCCAGCA
rnacentral:rRNA from 1 species